rnacentral:rRNA from 1 species
ACACCGGCAGCUCUAGUGGUCGCUGUUUUUAUUGGGCCUAAAGCGUUCGUAGCCGGUUUGGGAAGUCGCUGGUGACAUCCUGUAGCUUAACUGUGGGAAUUGCUGGUGAUACUGUUGAACUUGAGGUCGGGAGAGGUUAGCGGUACUCCAAGGGUAGAGGUGAAAUUCUGUAAUCCUGGGAGGACCACCUGUGGCGAAGGCGGCUAACUGGAACGAACCUGACGGUAAGGGACGAAAGCUAGGGGCGCGAACCGGAUUAGAUACCCGGGUAGUCCUAGCCGUAAACGAUGCGGACUUGGUGUUGGGAUGGCUUUGAGCCGCUUUGGUGCCGAAGGGAAGCUGUUAAGUCCGCCGCCUGGGAAGUACGGUCGCAAGACUGAAACUUAAAGGAAUUGACGGGG